ACACUUAGUGGCGGACGGGUGAGUAACGCGUGGGUACCUGCCUCACACUGGGGGAUAACAGUUAGAAAUAGCUGCUAAUACCGCAUAAGUCCGCAUGGAAAAAACUCCGGUGGUGUGAGAUGGACCCGCGUCUGAUUAGCCAGUUGGCGGGGUAACGGCCCACCAAAGCGACGAUCAGUAGCCGGCCUGAGAGGGUGAACGGCCACAUUGGGACUGAGACACGGCCCAAACUCCUACGGGAGGCAGCAGUGGGGAAUAUUGCACAAUGGGGGAAACCCUGAUGCAGCGACGCCGCGUGAGUGAAGAAGUAUUUCGGUAUGUAAAGCUCUAUCAGCAGGGAAGAAAUGACGGUACCUGACUAAGAAGCACCGGCUAAAUACGUGCCAGCAGCCGCGGUAAUACGUAUGGUGCAAGCGUUAUCCGGAUUUACUGGUUGUAAAGGGAGCGUAGACGGAUGGGCAAGUCUGAUGUGAAAACCCGGGGCUUCACCCCGGGACUGCAUUGGAAACUGUU
rnacentral:rRNA from 1 species